AUUGAACGCUGGCGGCAUGCCUUACACAUGCAAGUCGAACGGCAGCACGGGUGCUUGCACCUGGUGGCGAGUGGCGAACGGGUGAGUAAUAUAUCGGAACGUACCUUAUUGUGGGGGAUAACGCAGCGAAAGCUGUGCUAAUACCGCAUAAUCCCUAAGGGGGAAAGCGGGGGACCGUAAGGCCUCGCGCAAUUAGAGCGGCCGAUACCUGAUUAGCUAGUUGGUGAGGUAAAGGCUCACCAAGGCAACGAUCAGUAGCUGGUCUGAGAGGACGAUCGGCCACACUGGGACUGAGACACGGCCCAGACUCCUACGGGAGGCAGCAGUGGGGAAUUUUGGACAAGGGGGGCAACCCUGAUCCAGCAAUGCCGCGUGAGUGAAGAAGGCCUUCGGGUUGUAAAGCUCUUUUGUCAGGGAAGAAACAGCAGCUCUAACACAGUAUGCGAAUGACGGUACCUGAAGAAUAAGCACCGGCUAACUACGUGCCAGCAGCCGCCGUAA
rnacentral:rRNA from 1 species